AGCCUUAAGUAGUUAGGAUUAGGUAGAUUAUAUAAAUUUAGUUUUAGGUAUGUAAAUUAUAUGAAUUUAGUUUGCUUUAAGUAGUUAGUAAUUAACUUAAUUAGGUAUGUACAAACUAAUCUUAGUUGACAAGUAGGAAAUAGCUUUAGGUAGUAAGUGAUUAAUUUAAGUAGGUAUAUAACUUAUUUUAAAGGUAGCAUUUGAUGAUCCUCCUUGAGGUGUGGAUUGGGACAACCCUCGUGACCUCGUCCUUCUCUCAGCAGCAAGUGGUGACUCAUCCAAGCUUAUUCUAUUCCGUUUAUAGGUAGCGGGCAAAUAUUGUUAAAUGCGCGUUUGAUGAUCCCUCUCGCGGUGCGGAUUUCUGCGACUCUCGUGACCUCGUCCUUCCCCCGGCAGCAGUUGGUGAUGCGUCCAAGCCUCCAGUGGCUCGGGGGCAGCCCGUCUUCCUUCACGAGGACUACGUCGCCUUCGCGGAGACCAUGGCCCUUGGAACUUCUCCACUUGGAACGUGUCUGCAGCAGUCCGAUAUAAUCUCUAGACCACCUUCGCCAGAAAUCUUGUUGUACUUGCUGUAACUGCUGGUAGUGAGUUAAUCUGUUCAUAGGUACAUCAGUGUAGUCGUAGUCGGGUAUUGAACCAGGUGUCCUACCUAAUAGGAAGUGGG